UCCCGUUAGGGGCUGAGCUAGUGCUGCACCAUACGGCCAAAUGCCGAAAGUGGCUAGGAUAUCCCAGAGAGAGUAGUGCUGCACCAUGCAGUCAAAUGCCGAAGGUGGCUUAUGCUAGUAUAUACCUGUCUAUACGUUUCAAUCAGAAGAUCGAUAUUAUGUGUUCAUGUGAAAGUUCACAUUUCCUUAGGAGCUGUAUUUUGAUAGAUUUAAGCUUCUAAUGGAGCAUUUUAAACGUAUAGAGUAUACUAUGAAGUAGAGUGCGGAUCAUUUUAUAUUCAUAGAAAAUUUGAAUGUAUGGAAAUGUACAAAAUGCUCAUGAUAUGCAAAAAUAUGCAAAAUAUUCAAAGUAAACCAAUCAUCAAAAAGUUUAAAAGAUCAGACUCUCUAUUUUUCUUUUUGCAUCCUGCAAAUUACCGUAUAGAGAUGUAAAACGAAAGCUAUUGCUCGUUAAAAUUUGACGUACUUUUGUUUUCAUGAAAAUAUACAUAUGUUGAAUUAAAUAAACUAAACUAUUGAUAAUCACAUUGAAAGUAUAUAUAUUUAUAUGUAACUUAGAUUUCACAGAUUAUUUCGAUAUUGAAGUACUUCUUAUGUAUUAACGAAGAAGAUAAAACAUACUAAUACAAGCAUAAUUCAACUGAGCGAUUAUGAUAAUGUUAAUGCGCAUCUCCGAACGUGCAGAGGAUAAAUGAGCAGUUUUCAGAAUUCUACCUUUUAGCGUUCUACACACGAUCGGAGCGUAAAUGUGCCCGUAGUCUGCCUGUUCCUAUAAGCUACUUUAAACGAUCAUCUUUGAUUGUGUUGGCUCGUAGAUCAUAGAGGAAGCGAUUUACCUAUCUUUCGGAACAAGAACUACAGUUAAAAACAGCGACCAAUUGAGAACGGUAGUUAAGUCCGCGAGUAGAGGGGUGAGCGUGUUUUAGCGGCGACAACAGCACACGGUAUGCAGAUACGAAGCCGGGGUAAACCGGGAAGCCGUAGUUCACGGACCGUAGUAAGCGUGGUAACUCUGAACAGUCAACGACAUUUGAAAGCCGGCCGCGCUCUGGAAUUCAGAUAGACGAAUAUGCGGCUGCUUCUGUUCCAAAUAUCUCCGUUACUGUGCCUGUUGACGGAAAUCGGCGCGGCUGGGAUCGGUAAAGCAUGGCAGAUCCUGCCAUACGCGACCGAUUCCUGGAAUCACCCAUCAUGGCCACGGCUCGACUCUUCCGCGUUCGAAGUUCGCAGCGUGACCGGG